GUGCAAACUUGAUGACUAACUCUGCAUGUGCAUGAUGUUGUAGAAGUGAAGAGAACCAGGUUUGCUAAAGUAAUUGUGGUGACAGGAAUGUACUGGCCUCAGAAGCUACUGAGGUGGUCCAUUCUAUCCCAGGACAGUG